UGCGUAGGUGGUGGGGUAAGUCGGAUGUGAAAUCUCGGAGCUCAACUCCGAAAUGGCAUUGGAAACUACCCUGCUGGAGGUUUGGAGGGGGGACUGGAAUUCUCGGUGUAGCAGUGAAAUGCGUAGAUAUCGAGAGGAACACCAGUGGCGAAGGCGAGUCCCUGGACAAAACCUGACACUGAGGCACGAAAGCUAGGGGAGCAAACA
rnacentral:rRNA from 1 species